rnacentral:rRNA from 1 species
GUGUCAGCCGCCGCGGUAAUACGUACCACACGAACGUUAUUCGGAAUCACUGGGCUUAAAGGGUGCGCAGGCUGUGCAGAAAGUCGGGUGUGAAAUCCCUCGGCUCAACCGAGGAACUGCGCCCGAAACUACUGUGCUCGAGGGAGAUAGAGGUGAGCGGAACUUAGGGUGGAGCGGUGAAAUGCGUUGAUAUCCUAAGGAACACCGGUGGCGAAAGCGGCUCACUGGAUCUCUUCUGACGCUCAUGCACGAAAGCCAGGGGAGCGAACGGGAUUAGAAACCCCAGUAGUCC